UACAGAGGUCUCGAGCGUUAGGCGGAAUCACUGGGCUUAAAGCGUGUGUAGGCGGAUCGUUAAGUGCCUUGUGAAAUCCCACGGCUUAACUGUGGAACGGCUGGGCAUACUGGCGGUCUUGAGCCAUCUAGGGGCGACUGGAACAAACGGUGGAGCGGUGAAAUGCGUAGAUAUCGUUUGGAACGCCAAUGGUGAAAACAGGUCGCUGGGGAUGCGCUGACGCUGAGACACGAAAGCCAGGGGAGCAAACGGG
rnacentral:rRNA from 1 species